rnacentral:rRNA from 1 species
GCAUAUCAAUAAGCGGAGGAAAAGAAAAUAACAAUGAUUCCCUUAGUAACGGCGAGUGAAGGGGGAUAAGCUCAAAUUUUAAAUCUACCAGGUUAACCUGGUCGAGUUGUAAUUUGAAGAAGCGUUUUCCGCGUUCGGGUCGGCCCAAAUCCUUUGGGAUAAGGUAUCAUGGAGGGUGAGAAUCCCGUUCGGCUGACCUUAGGAUGCUUUACGAUACGCUCUCAAAGAGUCGAGUUGUUUGGGAUUGCAGCUCAAAAUGGGAGGUAAAUUUCUCUUAAGGCUAAAUACCGGCGAGAGACCGAUAGCGAACAAGUACCGUGAGGGAAAGAUGAAAAGAACUUUGAAAAGAGAGUUAAAUAGUACGUGAAAUUGUUGAAAGGGAAACGAUUGAAGUCAGUCGUACCGGCGGGAAAUCAGCUUCUCGAGUGGGGGUUCGCGGGUGCGUGGAGCUUCGGCCUUCGUCGCUUGUGACACCUUUUGCUUCUGGAGCGUACUUUUCCGUGUGGUAGGUCAACAUCGGUUUCGAUUGCCAUAAAAUGACCGGAGGAAUGUGGCUUCGAUCUUGUAUUGGAGUGUUAUAGCCUCUGGUAGAUGUGGUGGUUGGGAUCGAGGAUUGCAACGAAUACCCUUUGGGCUAUCCGCCUGACCUCUGAAAGUCGCUUGGGUACCGAAAGCUUGCUUACGGUCAUUCAAGUUGGCGGUCAAAAGGUUAGAACGCGAUUAAAUUCGUUAAGGAUGUUGACGUA